rnacentral:lncRNA from 1 species
AUUCCUGACAGUUCAAAACUUAACUAUCAUUAAAACCAUGAUAACUGUGUGAUAUGACACUUUCACAGUAAAUUUGACCCUCCCAGGCACAGGUGUAGUGUGAGUUAAUGUUAAUGCAUAGCUGAUAUGGUUUUCUUAUCAUUAGGUAUUGGCUAUAUUAAUAUUAUAUUGUUUUGCAAACCAAAAGUGCACAUUGCUGCUAACUUAGUUUGUGAUUGAUGGUUGACAGUUUUUUUCUUUUCUCCCUGCAGCUCCUUUAUAGUCAACCCCCAUCACACCUUAUUGUCGUCAUUUUGAAAACCCAAAGGCACUUUUAAGAGCCAAGUCCAUCUAUCUAUCUAUCUAUCUAUCUAUCUAUCUAUCUAUCUAUCUAUCUAUCUAUCUAUCUAUCUAUCUAUCCAUCUAUCUAUCUAUCUAUCUAUCUAUCUAUCUAUCUAUCUUUCUAUCUAUCUAUCUAUCUAUCUAUCUAUCUAUCUAUCUGUCUGUCUGUCUGUCUGUCUGUCUGUCUGUCUGUCUGUCUGUCUGUCUGUCUGUCUGUCUGUCUGUCUGUCUAUCUAUCUGUCAGUCUGCCUGUCUGUCUGUCAGUCUGCCUGUCUGUUUGCCUGUCUGCCUUUCUGUCUGUCAGUCAUUUAUCAUGCCUGGGGGGUCGAUCCAAAAGAAGUGCCCCUUUUGUGAGUCCAUUUUAUUUUGUGCCCAAAACAAAUGCUCAUAUUGUAAAAUGGAGCAGCCUGCCGAGCAGCGACUGAAGAAAAGACUGAAAAAGUUUGACCAGAAGCGAGAGGAAUGGGUGGUUGGCCUUAAAAAGAACCACAACCUGGCAUCCAUUAAGGAUGAAGCUAUAGUCCUGCUUGAGAAACUCCAUGCCAUGGGCUACAAGCCGGUUCUCCUUCUUGGCAAGGAGACAAAGACGGGAGCAACAAAUUGUGAAGUUUUAACGCCUCGUUGCGAACUCACUCUUCAGGCCCAGAACUCACUCCAGAAGAUGGGCUCAUUUUAUGAGUCUAUUUGUGAAGGUUGGAGUCAGGAAAUUCCUGCAGCUGAUGAUCAGGUGAUCACACUAACCCUCACACCGUGUGACCCCUUGGAGGUCAAAAGCCAGGAGCAGGCAAGCAGCACAGAGGGAAAAGCCUACAGCUCUGACCUGAUCAGGGCUCAUGCAGAGCGAGCCCUAAACCUAAGCCCUGUGCAGACUGCUGAGGAGGUGGAGAACCCCAAAGACUUGCAGACUGCUGAGGAGGUGGAGAACCCCAAAGACUUGCAGACUGCUGAGGAGGUGGAGAACCCCAAAGACUUGCAGACUGCUGAGGUGCAGAGCAGAGAAACGAAGGAUCAGCACUUGUUGAAACAAAUUGGGAUAACCAAAUACAGGUCAGACACGGGCACAGAGCUUAAUCCAAGACGAAAAAAGAAAACAGUCAGAGGCACCAAAGCAUCUGCCUGUGAGGAAAAAGACACAGAUAAACUGCUCCUACCACUCUCGUCUAGAGGCUUUCCCCAUCAGACGAGUUGUAAAAGAAAGAUUGAGAAAUGGCAAAGAAGAAAUAUUGGUUGACUGGAAGCCCUGUCCAGUAUGUGGUAAGGAGUGGGCCCAUUCCUGGCAACCGAAGGAUUUUCUUCAAUGAAUGAAUUCAUAGUUUUUAGUUUUUUUGUACUUUAUAUUGUUUGCUAAUAUAAGUGACAUAUUAUUUGAUUGUUGUGUUUUUUUGUUGUUAUGAAAGAUAAAUAAAUUGUCAAAGAUGAACAUUUUUGGUUUUACUUCUCCAUGCAUCAUCUUAUUCAAAAACACAAUGUGAUAGUGUUAGUUGAUGAAAGGUAAUAGCUAAAGAAGAUGACGAAAAU